rnacentral:tRNA from 1 species
UGGCUAGCGCACUUGAAUGGGGUUCAAGAGGUCACAGGUUCAAGCCCUGUCGCCCCGA